rnacentral:rRNA from 1 species
UGGAUUGACAUGACUCUCGGCAAUGGAUAUCUCGGCUCUCGCAUCGAUGAAGAGCGCAGCGAAAUGCGAUACGUGGUGCGAAUUGCAGAAUCCCGCGAACCAUCGAGUCUUUGAACGCAAGUUGCGCCCGAGGUCAACCGGCCAAGGGCACGUCUGCCUGGGCGUCA